AAACGAUUUUGGGCAUUCGUUAUUUUCAUAAAGAAAUGAUUGCUGCAGAGAUUAUUCACCAUCAUCGGAGACGGCGAUUAGCGAUUUGUUUCGCUGGAUGGAGAAGUACUUUCAAUGAAAAGAAAAAAAGCAAGCAGUACGUUAGAUAUGAAAUUCCCCACCAACAUAUACUCAACUGGAAGCGGAGGUGGCAGGCAUUCAUGAGAUGCUUUCGGCGUUAGCAGCGUAGGAAACAUGGAUCCCAGGCACAGCAUUAAGCAGCAUAUGAUGAAUGGUGAUCUUCACAGAUCGGAUCUUGGAAUGCCAUGAUAGUUCCAAAAAAAAAACUUAAAAACAAAAAUACUCCAGCCCUAAGUUCCCAGUAGUAGUAAUUUUAGUGUUAUGAAAGAAAACUCAAUCAACGUAGGGAUAAAUAUCCAGUUGUUACAGCAGUAUUCAACUUCCCGGACAAAAAGAUUUCAGUUCUAUUGGAGUAGAACGAAACGAAUAAUACAACGAAUACAAGAAAUUUACUGACGAAACUGGAUGAAUAGCAAGUCCCAG